CAUAAAUAUGCUCCUAUCAAAUUCCCCCACACUUAGCUUUUGCUAGUCCUCGAGCAAAACAAAGAAACAAAACGAAACAAAACAAACAAUCAACACAUAACCUAAACCUUCCAACGUUUGCCUCAGGGAUUCCCAAUGCACAUGACAUAUUAAAAAUCAUCAUUCCCACAGAUUUUAGUCAUCUUCACACUUAAGCAUAUACUUAAUCAUAGUCACCACAUACUAGUUCACAUUUAACCAAUUAAAACAUGAUUUUGAAUGUAGUAACAUGCCUUAGAGAAUUUGCUCAAUUCCUUACUAGAUAUGCACUCAAUUUUCACACAGAUUUUCUAACUCCACACCCUAUACUAGUUAUAUGUGAGAAGAUUGAUGUAAAUAUGAAAACGAACGCUCACAUAUAUGUAUAACAAAGGAAGCAUUUUCUGGAUUUAAGAAGCAUUUAGAUACGAUCUCAUGAAUGGAAUGCUACUACUUAGAUGCGAGAACCAAGGAUAUCAUAUGCUCAUACCAAUUCCAAACUCCACAUAUUGAAACACAUAACAAUCAAGAUAGAAGCAAAGGGUUGUAACGGGGCUAAGGUAUUGGCUAACAAAGAAAGGGUAGGAUAAACAAACAUUCUUAAAGAAUAAUAAGCAAAGUAAUGAAAUUGACACUUAGAAUUCACUUUUGCAUGCAAAAAUCAAUUUUGAAACACAAGGGGAAGACUCAUGCAACACUUAGGACCAAAUUCAAGCUUUUUGGACCCUUUCUUCAACAACCAACACUUUAGAGCUUCUUUUCACACAUUUUUCAACUCUUCUUCAUUCUUUUCA
rnacentral:lncRNA from 1 species